rnacentral:rRNA from 1 species
GACGAACGCUGGCGGCGUGCCUAAUACAUGCAAGUCGAACGAACCGCGACUAAGUGCUUGCACUAAGUGAAGGCGAGUGGCGAACGGGUGAGUAACACGUGGGUAACCUACCUCAUAGUGGGGGAUAACAGUCGGAAACGACUGCUAAAACCGCAACGGACAUCGGAUCACAUCAUCCAGUGAGGAAAGGUUGCGCAAGCUAUCGCUAAGAGAUGGACCCGCGGCGCAUUAGCUAGUUGGUAGGGUAAAGGCCCACCAAGGCGACGAUGCGUAGCCGACCUGAGAGGGUGAUCGGCCACAUUGGGACUGAGACACGGCCCAGACUCCUACGGGAGGCAGCAGUAGGGAAUCUUCCGCAAUGGACGCAAGUCUGACGGAGCAACGCCGCGUGAGUGAAGAAGGUCUUCGGAUCGUAAAGCUCUGUUGUUAGAGAAGAACAGCGCAUAGUUUAACUGCUACGCGUGUGACGGUACCUAACCAGAAAGCCACGGCUAACUUCGUG